rnacentral:misc_RNA from 1 species
AACCAUAGAAACCUGCGGAGUACCUGCGGAAGGAUCAUUACCGAGUUUACAAACUCCCAACCCUUUGUGAACCUUACCAUAUUGUUGCUUCGGCGGGACCGCCCCGGCGCCUUCGGGCCCGGAACCAGGCGCCCGCCGGAGGCCCCAAACUCUUAUGUCUUUAGUGGUUUUCUCCUCUGAGUGACACAUAAACAAAUAAAUAAAAACUUUUAACAAUGGAUCUCAGAUCGGAAGAGCACA